rnacentral:rRNA from 1 species
UACAGAGGUCCCAAGCGUUACUGAGAAUCACUGGGUUUAAAGGGUGCGUAGGUGGUCCGUUAAGUCAGUUGUGAAAUCCCCGGGCUCAACCCGGGAAAUGCUUCUGAUACUGGCGGACUUGAGGCCAGUAGGGGGUCACUAGAACUGACGGUGGAGCGGUGAAAUGCGUAGAUAUCGUCAGGAAUGCCGGUGGUGAAGACGGGUGACUGGGGCUGGUUCUGACACUGAGGCACGAAAGCGUGGGGAGCGAACGGGG